rnacentral:rRNA from 1 species
AGAAUCAACGCUGGCGGCGUGCCUCAGACAUGCAAGUCGAACGCGAAAGUCCCCUUCGGGGGAUGAGUAGAGUGGCGCUCGGGUGAGUAACACGUAGGUAAUCUACCUUUGGGUGGGGAAUAACAGUCGGAAACGACUGCUAAUACCGCAUAGUGCAGCGGCACCUAAUGGUGACAGUUGUUAAAGCAUUUAUGUGCUUGAAGAGGAGCUUGCGGCAGAUUAGCUAGUUGGUAAGGUAAUGGCUUACCAAGGCGACGAUCUGUAGCCGACCUGAAAGGGUGGUCGGUCACACUGACACUGAAUAACGGGUCAGACUCCUACGGGAGGCAGCAGUCGGGAAUUUUGGGCAAUGGGCGAAAGCCUGACCCAGCAACGCCGCGUGAAGGAUGAAGUAUUUCGGUAUGUAAACUUCGUAAAAAUGGGAAGAAUAAAUGACGGUACCAUUUGUAAGGUCCGGCUAACUACGUGCCAGCAGCCGC